GGCGUUUUGAUGCCCGUAAUGCCGACAAUAACCCACGGUUUUCUGCGGUUUUUGCCAGAUACUGUCGCAUUCGUAAUGCGGGGGUCACAGGUUCGAGUCCUGUAAGCGGCACCA
rnacentral:tRNA from 1 species